AGGGUGAGAAAAAAAUCUCUAAA
rnacentral:snRNA from 1 species